ensembl:lncRNA
UUUGGCUUUCCGCUAUACUUUUUAUUCUCUUAGCCUAACCCAAAGCACUUUAAAAUACAUAACUGCUAUCAUCUUAGGGAAAGUUGUGAGGUAAUUAGGUCUCUGGUCUCUAAUUUAUAAGCAAAAGUGGAAAAACACCCUACUCUUGACAGGAUUAAAGUACCUGUGGGUACUAUUCAUGCUUUCAGAUCAUCUCCAGCCACUUUGUUCCUUUUAGGCCACUGCAGGUAUGUACAGAGAUUAUUAGAGAGACUUCCUGGUCGAUGCUCAGAGGAAAGCAGGUGUUUCCAGAAGGCAGUGCCAAGCUGGGUUCCAGGAACAUGAAGGCUUGUUCCACCCAGACCUGUGCUAGCUGGACGUGGGUCUGGGAUUGCUGCUGUGCCGGCUCCUGCCCCACUCACCAGUGACUCUAUUCCCACGUGCUGUGGGGUGUAAUCCAGCACAGGAGCUGCUGCCAGGGGACAGCUGGCCAAAGGUAAGUGUGUGAGUGUCAUUUCCAUCCUGCAGCUCACAAGAUUCCCUACUGCAUCUAUCAACGGGGCUCAGCCCGUCCUGGGGAUCUGAACAUGCAAAAGUGGACACAGAAACGGGGCUUCAGAGGCAGGUUGGCAGAACAGUUUUGGCAUGUGAAGUGACAAGUGCAGGGGGAAUACAAACUUCCUGAGCAAUAAUUUGCUAUUUUAUUAAUAUAUAUUAUGCCACAUGUGAAAUUUACUUGGGGACUUGCAUUAUCUAACAUUGCUCCAUUAGCUGAUCUCAGGGGAGAUUCAGGAUGGGCCUCUCCACCUGCUGAGGAGCUGUGCCAGAAAUGGCCUGGAGAUACAAGUGCAUAAACAUUACCUAAGCCUGAACGAGAACUAGCUUCAGACAAUACCAGUGCAUACUACCAAGCCUCCCUUUGAGAGAGGACAGGUAUAGGUGAUGGGAUACAGCAUAAAAGACACUAAAAAUGGCCUAUAUUCACAAAACUCUUCUACACAACCAUUAAUUUUUGUUUUCUUUCAAAAAUGACUUUCCUAUCAAUCCAACUCUGAGGCAGUUAACACAUGGAACUCAAAGAUACAGUUAACCCAUGUCUGUACACCAGGUUAAGAACAAAAUAUUUCAGUAUCAUAUUGAAAUCCCUAAUUCAUGCUGGGCCUUAACUUGAAGCAGCCACAGUUCCAGUUAUAAUAACCCUAGGAACAGAGAGGAUCUGAAACUUCUGAAAAUCAAGUCCAGAAUUUCCACCAGUGCCACAAACUCAAGGAAACUUUCUGAUGGUUUAAUUUGUAUUUGGAGUUUCACUGACCUAGCUAAUAAUAAUGAAAUAUAUUCUGUCUGUUCCUCAGACAGGUUCUACAUUACCAAGUGCAAUACUCCCAGCUGCAGUCAGUGUAUUCUUUUGCUCUAAACUCAUUUUCCAGAGCUAUAUUUCUCAAAAAUAUGAAUCUUGAAACUCCACUUUAAUGAUCAUAAAAGAUUUGGUUUCUGCUAUCCUCUUUAAGAAGUGCAUCCAGAGUCUAAGUCCAUUUUAGGAAUAUGCCAGAGAAAAAAAAGCUAAAAUGACUUGCCAAAGCUACUGUCUGACCUUUAAAUACAUAUUUAAAGCUCUGUCUCAGGGCUCCACAGCCCUCAAGGCGUUUCUUUCCUCAGUGCCAAAUGCAGAGUUCAUGCAGCCCCAGCUCCUCCAAAGUGCUAAGGUUACAUGUUAGAACCAGGUGCUGUUUACAUAAAAAAAGUGGGGCAAACAUCUGCAUGUCACCAAGCAUCUUUCCUGUACACUGAAUAUAAAUAUCCAGGUUAAACCUCUACUUCUUGACUGUGUUUCCUCCUACACCUUUAUCCGCUGAGGUAGUUUGUGAAAGUAACCUGAGAUAAAAAAUUUCCUUAUCAUGGUGUAAAAAUACUGGAUUUCCACUGCUUUAUAAUCUGAUUCUUUUGCUGGGUGUCCAUCAGCUCUUCAGGACGUGAUGCCAAGAGACACUAUCCAUGUUAAAAGGUUUGACAUCUGAAGGUCUUAUGAAUGGUUGGUGAGGGGAAUAUGGUUCAUAAAGCAGCAGGGGAAAGUUGUGCUGCAGAAAAGCCCUAGAAGAGAAGAGCAGCCAGUAGAAGACACAGUGGAUCUGAAUAAGAGGACUUAUUUAGCAGCCUCUGUGCAGAUGUCCAACACAGCUUCAUGUCUUGGAACUUCUCUCACCCUAAUCCCAAAGCAGCAAACACUGACCUUCCCGUGCCAGAGCAGCCUCAUGUGUUUGUUAGCAAGCCUUUGCACUACUAAGUAUUCAGAAAAGCUUGUCAGCAAAGCUUUUCAUUAAUUUAGUAGUGGUAGUGAUUGAUAACCAAAUAAUAUUGGUUAUUUAACCAAAAGAUCGUGUUCUGAAGAGAGCAAAUAUUUAGAAAGAACAAAUAUUUCCUGACAACAUUCAUUUAUCACAUUGGGAUUUAGAAAGCUGUGAAAAAGGCUUGGAGAGACCCACAAGAGACCAUGAUGUCCAUGUGUGAUCCAUGUAAUUUCUGAUGAUGAGCAUCAUCAGGAAAUACUUGUUACCAGCAAGGUCUUUUUUGGAUAUAUUUGUUUAAGGUCUGUAGGUCCUCCUUUAGGUGACUCACCUUAUUGUUGAGUUCUCCAGACACCUCAGCACAAAUUCCCUUUUAGUGUUGUUCUAGGCAUUUUUUCCUAGAGAGCACCUCUCCAAACCACUUGGUCUUUGCUCCAAAGGAGCUGAAACAUUAAAGUUUAUUUCAAUACCUGUGCAAGCAGCAGUUUGCCUAACACAUGUCUGCUGUCAUGGUACCUCACUGCCCACUGGGUGCCCAGCUCAGGCCCCACUGCUCUGACAUGAUCUGUAGAGUACACACAUUUGCACCAAGUGGUGAGUUUGGUCACUCAGUCAAAGAGCUGGUUUCUGAAGAUGAGUUAAACCCAAAAAAAAAAAAAAGAGUGAGGUCAGUGCUUAUUACCACAUGGACACUCAAGCCCAAAAGGAGCCUUGGUUGUGUCAUAGGAUGUAAAAUCUUGCAGCACCACACACUUCUAGCAGCAGAGAGAUAGCAGUUGUCUGGGAGGUUCAGUUCCCUUCAGGUUAAAUUAAAUUUAUGUUGGUUUAAUUUAAGACAGCUGGGAAGAGUUUUCAAGCUAAAAUAAUAAAAGCCACUCCUAAAGUGAAAUAAUGGAUGGCAAUAAUAUUGACAUGUGGAAAUAAUAAUAAAGACAUACUUCCCACUAAAAGUUUGUUGUUUUGUGUUUUUGUUUUUUGUUUUUGUUUUUGUUUUUGUUUUUGUUUUUUAAUGAAAUAGAAUCAAAAGAAGUUUCUAUGUGGACCAUAACUCAGAGGCCAAUGAGUCUUAGGUAUCUUUGAGAAGAGGGAACACUAUCCUCAAACUGUCUGCUGGGAUGCCGCAGGAAUUCUGAAGCCCAGAUUAUUUUUUUCUUUGUACUUUAACACAGACAAAGUUGAAGCAGGUUCACAGACAUAAAGCACAUGCUUUAUUCCCUGAUUUUGUAGCUGGUGGCAUACACCAAGUUCAAGGUUAAUAGGAAAAUUAUAGACAGGAUUCAACUGGGAGUCCUCAGGUGGCCAUCCUCUCCUGGUAUCUCCUCCAGUGCAGCAGGAGAUCACUGUCCUAUCAACAACCACCCCACAGUAAAAUUAUACUCUUUAGUAAAGCCUGCUCAAGUUGCCUUCCAGUGAUCUUUGUCUGAUAGCAACACUGGCACUGGUUGGAUUACACUUGAUUAAGUACAAAUGUUGCACGCUAAUUGGCUGAUACACCUUGUAUGCAUUUUUAAUCAAGUAUUACUUAUCCUAUAUUAAAAUUACUACUAUAUACUCUUUAUAUGUAAUAUGUACUCAUGGAUCUAGAAGGCACCAAGUGGAAAGAGUGUGGGAACUUGAGUGCUGAAUGAUAUGAAUGAUAUAACUUGACAGCAACAUGAUGAAAAGGUAGGGCAGAAGAGCACAGGAGGAUGGCUGAAGUAUAGGAAGCCUUUCCCAGGGAAUAUGGCAUAAAAAGUUCACCCCUGGAAGGCUGUGAGGAAAAGAGCACUGAUGAAAGGGCCAGAAGAAAGGGGCUGCCACAGCAGCCCGGGAGUAACUUUAAGUGAAAGGCUAUAAGCAAAAAAAGCCCCCUAAAAAUUAGAAAACUUUUAGGAAUAGGCCAGUACAAACAAUAUUUGGAUAACCAGACUCCCUCUAAGCCUCAUAAAAAUUACAUAAAAGUGGUCAGUGGGAUUUUGAGCAUAUCCUGCACUCCAGGUACACACAGAGUUCCAAACUAUCCCGUUCAUCCGGCACACAGAAAUUGAUGGGAAAGUCUGAGCUUUUAUUUCCAAGUUUCAUUGUUUGUAUGAUCUACCAUAGGCAGGGAAGAUUAAAGAAUAAGGGAAUGCCUAAAUAUAGAAAGAACAAAGAAGAGCUCAAUAGAUGAAUGUGAGUAACUGCAUCAGGUGCAAAAACACAGUUAGUGACAUUGUAAUUACUGAAAUUAAAUAUCAAUUUAUGCGAGUAUGCACUGUAACACUUUUGACAGCCUCAAACAUUAUAUGAUAGCAAAUAUAAGUGGGAUGACAGCUCCCUAAUUUGUAAAGUAGAAUCAUAGAACCAUUAAAGCUCACUUAAAGAAUUUUAUUCCAUAAGAUACAAGGACGGGAAAGGUUUCAGUGCAAAGAGGAUAAGUGAUAAUAAAUGCCCAGUAAAACCAUGCAUACAUCUGCAGCUAUUGAGACACACAGCAGCUUUUCUAAAAUACAAAUGUAGUACAUGAAGUAACAAAUCCUGCAGCAGCACCAUGGAAAACUUUGGUCUGAAGGAGAGAGUGGGAAGAAGAUCAUUCCCAUUGGGAUAGGACACACCUCACUUUAGAUGCUUCAGGCAUACGGGUUGCAUGCUAAUUGUGUCUGUGUCUUCCUCUAGUCCACAGGGAGGAACGAGUGUCACCAGAGACAAUCCUUACCAUAGAGAUAUCCAUUCAGCAUGCCAGGUGGUGAGAUGAAUCCAGGUCAUUUCCUUCGCUUACCAAUUUUCAUCAGAGAACUUUCCAUUUCUUCAGCAUGUCUCUCCAAGGCUGGCCCUUUAAGUGUGUGAGAGCUCUGCAGCCACCAGGCAGCAAUAUUUUUCCUUCAAAACAGCUUCACGUUCCUCUCCCACCUCCCCUCUUUCCUCCUGGUGUUUAGGUCCUCUUUGCUAGCAGGAUGGCUUUUUUUUUCACUCCGUUGCUAGGUUGGUAGCCUAGUUUCCCAAGGAAAGGAAGCUUAUGAGAUCACACUGUCUGUGCAAGUGCCAGUCGGUCCCUCCUAAAUAAUUUUUGAGCCUGUGAACUAAGUUUUAUCAAACUUGACAGGGGAUAGAAGUCUCAAAGGUUUGAGCUGCCUACAAGUGCUGUGGAAGUAGGCAGGAGGAGGAGAAAAAAUGCUGGGAGUGCAUCCACUGCAGAAAUAUAAUUGUAUUAUUAGACACCAGAGAGUCCACAUCGAAGACAGUCAUUACCACUGAACUCCAUGGGAGAUACAAUUUCACAGAUUCAGCAGCUCACAAGAUGACUUGAUUAAUAUGAGCAUGAGCAAAAUGUUCUUCUCCCCUUCUUCUAGAGCACAAGGCUUCACUUGAGAGCAGCAGGGGAGAGCACAGAAAUGACAGGUUGGUAAGAGUGAAUUUAGAGCUAAUUGCUGCUCCUUCUCAUGCCAGUCCUCGUGUGGAACUCGACUUCCCUGUGACUCCGGUGCCCCCGGUUGCAUGAUCUGGUUCACACAAAGGAUGAAAUUGCAUGGACUAGAGCAGAGCAAAUCCCAAAUUGCCGUGGGCUCUGCUGAGGAGGGUGAAGCUGCCUUAUAAUGGGCCAUCAUUUCUAAGGACAGCUCCACGAUGAAGCAUCCAGCUCGUCCGGGUCUGUCCUCCUGGUGCUGGUCUGUGCUGCAGCUGCUAACGGCGAUUCAUUUGCCACGAGUGUGAGCUGGAACAUAGGCUGAGGACCAGCAAAAGCUGUGCCUGGUGCGUAGGCUGGCUCUUGUUUGUUCCUGCUGUGGCUUUUCCUAGAAGUCAGGCACCCCAGGACUGCCUGACUACUGAGCCUGAGCAAAACCCUCGCAGUCCCUUGUUAACACUUGCCAGGGAGAAAAACAAGCUAUUUGCAUGGGUAGGAUUCAAUAAGAAGUGGAAAUCACUCAUCUUGCAAAAAAAAAAAAAAAAAACAAAAAAAA